UGAGGAAUUUUGCUCAAUGGGAGAAAUCCUGAAGCAGCAACGCCGCGUGGAGGAUGAAGGGCUUUCAGCUUGUAAACUCCUGUAAAGAAGGAAAAAAUUCCCAUUAGAUGGGAAAUGAUGGUACUUCUAAAGUAAGCCCCGGCUAACUACGUGCCAGCAGCAGAGGUAAUACGUAGGGGGCAAGCGUUGUCCGGAUUUACUGGGUGUAAAGGGUGCUCAGGCGUAUUUGUAAGUCAGAGGUGAAAUCGCACAGCUUAACUGUGAAACUGCCUUUGAUACUGCAAGUCUAGAGUAUGGAAGAGAGUGAUGGAAUGUCUGGUGUAGCAUUGAAAUGCGUAGAUAUCAGAUAGAACACCAAUGGCGAAGGCAGUCACUUGGUCCAUUACUGACGCUAAAGCACGAAAGCGUGUGUAGCAAACA
rnacentral:rRNA from 1 species